rnacentral:misc_RNA from 1 species
AACCUUAUGGACCUGCGGGCGUAUACCUGCGGAGGGAUCAUUAUAGAGUUUUCUAAACUCCCAACCCAUGUGAACUUACCUUUUGUUGCCUCGGCAGAAGUUAUAGGUCUUCUUAUAGCUGCUGCCGGUGGACCAUUAAACUCUUGUUAUUUUAUGUAAUCUGAGCGUCUUAUUUUAAUAAGUCAAAACUUUCAACAAUGGAUCU